rnacentral:lncRNA from 1 species
UUGGGGACUUUAGGAGGUUGAGGAAUGAGAGAACUUCACCUUCUGUAUAUUAACUGGUCGUAUGUCACAAUUUUCCCAUAUUUUUCACAGUUAUAGCUGAGGUGGUUACCAGUUUAAGAAGUGAGAACUUCUUCACUGACUGAAAUUUGCAUAUCAAUCCAAAUCAUUGUGCUUGUUUACUAUUUUUGUAGACGUCAUUCUUCAAAAGUGCUGCAUCUUUCAUAGUCAAGGAGGACAAAGACAUCUUUCCUGCAGGUGGUGACCAUGUGGAUAAUAGGAUCAUAGACAAAUGGUGGUUCCAUCUACAGCAUCACCAAAAUGCUGUUGUUACUGCUUCUUUCUGGGAUCUUCUUGCAUCUUUGCUUCUAAAGGGGCACACCUUUUAUAGAAGUAUGUCCAGGAAUAGAAGUGACCUGCUUUUUCGCAAGUAAUUGCCUGGAAUGUUUUUAUGUACUUCUCUGCACUCUCAAUACAUUUCAUGCUUCCCUCUAUUUUUGUAUAUUAACUCAUUGUAUUUCUUAAAUUUAUAUUUUACUUUAUGAAUGGAAGUGAGGUUUGUGUAUGGUAAAUAUAAUUAAUUCAACCCCAUGGAUACGUUAGUCACUCUCCAGAUGAUGGCAAGUCUUUCUCAGAAGCAGAGGGCCUUGGUGUGCCAGUGAUUUUUUUCCCCAUGUGUAAGAUACUUUUUUUCCUCAUUUGAAUCAGGAGCCCACAGUUUUUAGACAAGUCCCAAAUGAAAUCUUAAGCAUUUGUGUUAUCUGGACUAGACCUUCUGUAGUAUCCUUUUUGUUAGACCUAGUAUAUCUCAUUGCAGAUCAGGAUCUGAGAUUGACUAUAGUUCACCUCUUUCCAAGUACACAAACUUGGAUGACAUGACAACUGAGUGUGUAAGGGAGAGCGAGACCCUUGCACUGCCAUUUGAGCCAUUGUGAUCUCAUCUUGUAGAACAUGUUGUACAAUCAUUUUAUUGGUAUCAUUAGUGUUAUUUGGGGCUGGAAUAAAAAUCUCAGUGCACCAAAGAGAUUUCCCCUUUAUCCACGUUACCCUGGUUUUCCUUUGUUUUCUGUUUAACCUAAACGGGCUUAAUAUAAAAUAGUGCUUAUUUGGUGUUUUAAUUGUCUGCUUCUAUAACAUAAGCUGCACUGUCCAUUGGGGAACUGC